rnacentral:rRNA from 1 species
CGUACCUUUCGGUUCGGAACAACACAGGGAAACUUGUGCUAAUACCGGAUAAGCCCUUACGGGGAAAGAUUUAUCGCCGAAAGAUCGGCCCGCGUCUGAUUAGCUAGUUGGUGAGGUAACGGCUCACCAAGGCGACGAUCAGUAGCUGGUCUGAGAGGAUGAUCAGCCACAUUGGGACUGAGACACGGCCCAAACUCCUACGGGAGGCAGCAGUGGGGAAUAUUGGACAAUGGGCGCAAGCCUGAUCCAGCCAUGCCGCGUGAGUGAUGAAGGCCCUAGGGUUGUAAAGCUCUUUUGUGCGGGAAGAUAAUGACGGUACCGCAAGAAUAAGCCCCGGCUAACUUCGUG